CGUUCAACGCCACGGCCACCCCUUGUUCUCCCUCUAACCUCAAGAAACGAACACUGUUCAUCAUCUCUCUCUCUUGCUCGAUCCAGCCGUCGCCGCCACGGAUUUCGCCGGAGGAGCAGCGGCGAUAGGCCGCGCCACCCUCGGCUCUCUCGCCUCUCUCUCUGGAUCGACGGGUAGCCUAAGAUCGGAGACCACCUCGGCUCCGUCGCCGACCGUCGACCGCCGGCAGCCACCGCGGCUGCCGUCCCCUCUGAUUUCGACUCACACACACAGUAGGUUCAAGCCACAAUUUAGUUCACAAAAUAGCAUAGGAUUUUGAGCAGAAAUCAAAUACUGUAAAUGCUUAUUGAAAUCUGAAAUUCUUUUCUUGAAACUGAACUAGUCUAUAAAUUUCAGUUCAUAUGUGCA